GAUUGGAUCACUCGGCUCAUGAAUCGAUGAAGAACGCAGCGAAAUGCGAUAAGUAAUGUGAAUUGCAGAAUUCAGUGAAUCAUCGAAUCUUUGAACGCACCUUGCACUCCUUGGUAUUCCGAGGAGCAUGCCUGUUUGAGUGUC
rnacentral:rRNA from 1 species